AGUGCGGGACGAUGUGACGGAGAGGAAGGAAACCAAAAGGUGGCAACUGCGAUUUCCCAGCCCGGCCUCCUCUUUCGGCAGCAACCCGCCCAUUCUCAGAGCUGGAGCGGGGAGAGGCAAGAAAGAGAGAGACAUGCUAGGUCACCAGCAUUUCGACUGUUCCUACAGAAGAUCUACUCUUCAUCCAGGUUUACAGCCAGUAGAAACCCACAAAUCGGAUGUUUAAGCAAAGGACCAGUUGCCGAUUCAACCUUCUGACCUCGUUUCCGGUGUCGGGACUUCAAAAGUACUUUUCCUUGGGGAAAUCCUUGGCUAAGGUGAUUGAAGUUCAUUAAUUAAAGCCAACAGUGGGUGUCUGAGA